rnacentral:sRNA from 1 species
GCCGGGUGUGGUGACACACACCUGUAAUCCCAGCAGUUCAGGAGGCUGAGACAGGAGGAUCACGAGUUCAAAGCCAACUUCAGCAACAGUGAGGCCCUAAGCAACUCAGGGAGACCCUGUCGCUA